rnacentral:rRNA from 1 species
GGAUUAGAUACCCUAUUAUUUAUAAUAUAAAUAUAUAAAACCUGAGUAGUAAUAGUUAAGAUCUAUAAACUUAAAGAAUUUGGCGGUAUUUUAGUCUACUUAGAGGAAUCUGUCCCGUGAUUGAUAAUCCGCAUUGAACCUUACUUGAUUUAUUAAUAUGUAUACCGCCGUUUGUUGAAUAUAUUUAUAGAAUUUAAAUUUUCUAGGAAUUUAAUUUAAUAAUAUUUCAGGUCAAGGUGCAGUAGAUAUUCAAGUGGAAGAUGGAUUACAAUAUUUUAAAAUAAUAAUGAAUUAAUAAUUGGAAUAGUAUUAUGAAGGUGGAUUUAAUAGUAAAUUUAUGAAGAUUAUAAAUUUGAUAAAGCUCUAAAAUAUGUACACAUCGCCCGUCACUCUCGUUAAUAAAAUGAGAUAAGUC